CGAAGUGGGAGUUGCAAGGCACAAAGAGGAAAAACUGCAAACUCUCAGCAGCUGAUGCUCAAGUCUGCAGCUGCAGAAGCUGUACUGCACUUCAGCUAGCUCCACACACCCAGGUAGUAGCAAGGCAAGACAAGGUGGCCACGCACGUGGCAGGUCUGAGGAAGGCAGCAGGUGGCAGUGACAUUGAUGGAUACCUGAGGCUGCCCAGCUUUGAAGACGGUUUCUUCUGUCACUGUUGUUGUUGAGAUGACUGAGCAAGGGAAACGGAAACAGUGAAAAAGCCACAGGAGACAAGAAUAAUGCAGUCUUAUUUAGUGAGUGCUGAAUGUAGAGUCUGUUAUUUACACUCUCAUAUUAAACUGAACUGAAUGUUUGCUUGACAUCUACCUUUGUGUACCUGGCCUUAUUCUAAUGGCAGAAGGCAAAUGAAAGAAAGAAGAA